rnacentral:rRNA from 1 species
UACGUAGGGUGCAAGCGUUGUCCGGAAUCAUUGGGCGUAAAGGGCGCGUAGGUGGCCCGGUCAGCGUGCGGUGAAAGCUCGGGGCUCAACCCCGAGUCGGCCGUGCGAACUGCUGGGCUUGAGCACUGUAGAGGCAGGCGGAAUUCCGGGUGUAGCGGUGGAAUGCGUAGAGAUCCGGAAGAACACCGGUGGCGAAGGCGGCCUGCUGGGCAGUGGCUGGACACUGAGGCACGAAAGCUAGGGGAGCAAACAGGAGU